rnacentral:rRNA from 1 species
GACGAACGCUGGCGGCGUGCUUAACACAUGCAAGUCGAACGGAAAGGCCCUUUCGGGGGUACUCGAGUGGCGAACGGGUGAGUAACACGUGGGUGAUCUGCCCUGCACUUUGGGAUAAGCCUGGGAAACUGGGUCUAAUACCGGAUAUACCUCAUGGAUCGCAUGGUUUGUGGGGGAAAGCUUUUGCGGUGUGGGAUGGGCCCGCGGCCUAUCAGCUUGUUGGUGGGGUGAUGGCCUACCAAGGCGACGACGGGUAGCCGGCCUGAGAGGGUGACCGGCCACACUGGGACUGAGAUACGGCCCAGACUCCUACGGGAGGCAGCAGUGGGGAAUAUUGCACAAUGGGCGCAAGCCUGAUGCAGCGACGCCGCGUGAGGGAUGACGGCCUUCGGGUUGUAAACCUCUUUCAGUCACGACGAAGCGCAAGUGACGGUAGUGACAGAAGAAGGACCGGCCAACUACGUGCCAGCCGCCGCAGUAACAC